AGCCUGUAGCCCUGUAAUCCUCCUCUCGCCCCAAUCUUCUUUCUCUCUCCUUGAACUUCCUUCUCCUGUGAAACCCUAAAACCCGAAGAAGACUUCACGGAGGCUUCGAUGGCGGCUCCUGUCUCGGUUAUUGCACCAUGACUCUAGCAUGACUCUGCAAAUACGGAAGGGUUUCGGCGGGUGGUCAUCUUCGGUGAACUGGCCGGGGGAUCUGGCUGUUCGAUUUGCGAGUGGAGGUUGACGAAGCGCUUUUGUCGCCUCAGAUUUCCUUCUCUCUCUCCUCUCCCAUGUCAACGGCAUGUAUGUCUGCCAUGGAAAUUCCGCGACCUUCCACAUGGAAAUCGAAGCCUUCCAAACACAAAAUUGCUUUUAUUCUCCUGGUUUGGAGUUGGUGAUCGCUGCAAAUCUUGCAAGUAUCAUCCAAAUGUAUGCAGAGGUGACAAUUGGUCAAACAGUUUCCACCAGAUCAGCGAAGCUUAUGAUGUAAGUAGCAGUACUAAUAGUCUUAUGUUCCGUUCAGUUUUCAAAUCAAACCAAAUGUAGCUAAUUUGAAUUGAAUCAAUAACUUUCGCAGACGGUGAUGAGUAACUUUAGAGAAUGUCUUCUCUAUUAUAUAAUACUUAAUCUAUUCUCUGAUAUACUUGUAGGCACUGGCAUGGGCACCCUCGAUCUUUAAAUUAGUUAUGUGGUACUUUAAAAUUCUGAGCUCUUUGUGAUGCAAUUUAUCAACUAUUCUUGAUGUGGAUUUAUGAGAGUGUCUGAUACCUGUAUGUUCAAUAAAAAUCUGCCAAAGUUAUUACUCCUUUUCCUUUAUUUUUUUAAUUGCUCGACUUCUCUCAAAACUA